AUAUUGGUCAAUGGACGCGAGUCUGAACCAGCCAAGUCGCGUGAGGGAAGACGGCCCUACGGGUUNUAAACCUCUUUUGCGGGGGGNGAAAGUGAGCCACGUGUGGUUCAUUGCGAGUACCCAGAGAAAAAGCAUCGGCUAAUUCCGGGCCAGCAGCCGCGGUAAUACGGAAGAUGCGAGCGUUAUCCGGAUUUAUUGGGUUUAAAGGGUGCGCAGGCGGCAUGUCAAGUCAGCGGUCAAAGUUCUGGGCUCAACCCAGUGAUGCCGUUGAAACUGGCGCGCUUGAGUUCGUGGGAGGAAGGCGGAAUGCGCGGUGUAGCGGUGAAAUGCAUAGAUAUCACGCAGAACCCCGAUUGCGGAGGCAGCCUUCCAUCACGUCACUGACGCUGAGGCACGAAAGCGUGGGUAUCGAACA
rnacentral:rRNA from 1 species